GGGUAGCCCGAGUACGCGCGCGCGACCUCUUCAACGCGAGGCGAGAGAUGCGUGUCUCUCCUCCGCGACGCGACCACGUUCUCUUCUUCCUCGGGGAGCGAUUUUUCCACGGGGAGUCCUCGGUGUCGAGAUGGUCCCGGGGUUCCCCGGGUCCCUCGCGGCCGAGGCAACGAUCGGGGGCUGCUCCCGGGAUACGGAGUAUCGAUUGAAAAUGGCAGGGCGCUUUUUCGCGUGUGUGUCAGCGACCUAAACAAAGGAAUCAGCUGAUCCAGUCAGCCAGUCCCCCGACGCUCUGCUCUGCUACGCGGGCGUCAUCGGAGAUGUCAGCGGAGGAAAAUUAGGUCCCCGACGACGCUCCACGUUCGCGUUCGUCUUCCCUACAUUUUUUUUUUUUGCGAAAUCCUCGCGGGACGCUCCUCCUGGUGCGUCUGGUAGGGAAAAAAAAAUGAGAGGGAGAGAGAAGAUCGAACAAGUCGGAGUAUACUUAAGUGAAAAAGAGAGAGAGAGAGGGAGGGAGAUGGAAAGGGAAAAGAGAGAAAGAGACAAUGUGUACGUAUAUAUGCAUGCACAAUGUCAAUGACAGCUGCGUCGUACGAACGUGGACUGAUAUGUGGACUCGACCUCGCGCGUCAAGUCCGAUUCUUCGUGUCGAAUCUUGUUCCUUUGCAUAUGAAUUUUUGACGUUUUAGAAUUGCCCACACGUGUCAGCUCGCUAUACAAGGUGUCCUACUUUUGCUGUAACUAGCAAUAAGCUACGAGUCGUUUUCGAAGUCAAUUAUUUUGGAAAAAUCUUAGAUCUCGCAUCUGACAGUUAAGAAUGCCAGGAAAUAGUGGUCCUUUAUUCUCUCCCUCUGUUCACCCUCGGAGUCCGUUACAGAGUUAUAGCCCGGAUCUUCCGUAAAGCUUCGGGUUGCAAUAAUGACGACAAUGACGACUCGGUGCUGCGGUAUUGACGAUACCGCCGAGCAUUUAUCGCUGCUUCUUUGCUGCAUGUAUGCAUGAAAUGAGAAAAAUAAAACGUAUUUAAAACAAA